rnacentral:lncRNA from 10 species
CAAAGGGAGUUAUUGAGCCCGCUUACAAAAUCCAUAACAUGUUAGCAGGACUUAUCUAGCUGCCUCCACAGAAUAGCCAAGCAACUCUACACCCGCUUUAGCCCCCACAAAAACAAGCGGAUUGCACUACAAAUAAUUUGCCUAUUUGGAAAAUGAAAGCUUCUCUGUAGUUUGAGGUCCUAUUUUUUCUUUAAGUUGUUACAGUCUUUUCAUGGUCCUUGAGGUCUAGGUUAGGUUUUUGUUUGGGGUAAUUUUUGUAUCCUAUGGAUACUAUUUAAUCUUUAGUAUUGAGUCAGUAUUUCUCACUUAGGCCUUAGGGGAAUACUGCCUGAAGUAUGUAGGGGGCAUGCGGAAUUCAGACGUGGCUUGGAAACUGCACCAUGGGUUCACCCAAGAAACAGACCAGAGGCAACACAUUCUAUCACUAAAACGUGUUCUCAGUUACACUUCCCUUCCAAAGAGGAGAAAAUAUACAAAGAGAAGAUGAAGAGACAACCAA